UACGUAGGGUGCAAGCGUUGUCCGGAAUUACUGGGCGUAAAGGGCUCGUAGGCGGCCAACUAAGUCGGAUGUGAAAUCCCCAGGCUUAACCUGGGAACUGCAUCCGAUACUGGAUGGCUUGAAUCCGGGAGAGGGAUGCAGAAUUCCAGGUGUAGCGGUGAAAUGCGUAGAUAUCUGGAGGAAUACCGGUGGCGAAGGCGGCAUCCUGGACCGGCAUUGACGCUGAUGAGCGAAAGCUAGGGGAGCAAACGGG
rnacentral:rRNA from 1 species